GAAAGGAGGGGAGGAGGGACUACCAUCAGAUCCGAGGGAGUGCGGGAGCUGAGAGGUCCGGGAGAUCAUGACCUUAAUUCUCUGUCAAGACAGUUGGUUUAAUUAACACUGGAAGAAUCCUCAACGGCCCACAGCAUGACAAUGGAGAUGUAGUGGGGAAUUGGAUUGCUGAGGCCCCCUUUCUUUAGUCCACAUUGUAAGAAGACCACCUUGCAGGGAUUUUCCCCUUCACCAGGAGCAAUGGUCUUCACAGGAACGUUGGAUGAGGAGGGAAUGCAAAAUGAAGAGACGGAACAGAGCAGUUGGAAGACAGGAUCGGGGGAGGUGGAAAUAUUGUUUCUCUUCAUGAUGUAUCAUGAUAUAUGAAGAGGAAGAUUACAGCACUGACGACUCCGAGAGCUCUGACGAGGAGGAGUAUGUUCAGCUGAUACCAAUACUUUCACCUCCUCCUGUGAGGCAUCCUCUUCCACCAGUUUCUCCGCCCGGCUCAGACACUGAGGAUGAGGAGGAAGAAGAAGAGGAGAGGGCCUUCCCUCCUGCUAGUCCCACUCCUGAGCCCAGGUGGCGCUCUUGUUUUCUAUUUUUAUUUAGCUCCCUAAAGAGGCGCAGGGAGGAGGAGGACGGGAAUGAAGAAGAGCAGCCUGGGUGCUCCAGGAACAGUCCAAGACCCAGCAGGAGAUCUCCUUCUCCACCAAGUUCAGAGAGCGAGGAGGAAGGAGAGGAGGAGGCAUCGUGCCCCUGCUGUCGGGCGGCAGCUAGCAAGAGGCGCAGAGUCUGAAUGGACAUCACAUGAAUGAGGAGAAGUGCCAUGGCACUACUUCUUGUUGUUAGUUCUUAGUUGGUCUUAGUUCUUAGUUCUUAGUUCGUUGUUAGUUAGUUCUUCGUAGUAGUUUUU